rnacentral:tRNA from 1 species
AAGAAAUUAGUUAAAACAAUAACAUUAACUUGUCAUGUUAAAAUUAUCUAUUUAUAGAUAUUUCUUG